AUUGAACGCUGGCGGCAGGCCUAACACAUGCAAGUCGAACGAGUGGCGGACGGGUGAGUAAUGUCUGGGAAACUGCCCGAUGGAGGGGGGUAACUACUGGAAACGGUAGCUCAUACCGCAUACCAUCGGAUGUGCCCAGAUGGGAUUAGCGAGUAGGUGGGGUAACGGCUAAACUAGGCGACGCGCCCUAGCUGGUCUGAGAGGAUGACCAGCCACACUGGAACUGAGCCCCGGUCCAGACUCCUACGGGAGUCAGCAGUGGGGAUUAUUGCACAAUGGGCGCAAGCCUGAUGCAGCCAUGCCGCGUGUAUGAAGAAGGCCUUCGGGUUGUAAAGUACUUUCAGCGAGGAGGCGUGACUCGCAGAAGAAGCACCGGCUAACUCCGUGCCAGCAGCCGCGGUAAUAC
rnacentral:rRNA from 1 species